UAUAUAUAUAUAUAUAUAUAUAUAUAUAUAUAUAUAUAUAUAUAUAUAUAUAUAUAUACACAUAUAUACAUACAUACACACACACGUUGCACUGUUCAGGUUUUACUUUGUGGCUCUUUAUUGUUUUGUGCUACUGUAUGUAAAACUCACAUUAACUUACCACAGAAGUUUAAUUUAACUGAAGAUGUUCCCACAAUACUUGAUGGAAAUUAUAACACAGCUCAACUUUCAAUCACCUCUAUUGCUAUGAAAAAUAGAAACACCAAUGUAAUCUGUGUGUUGUAAUUCUGUCGCUGACUCUUGAAUCUGUCAUUAUCUAAUAAAGAUGUUGAUGCUGA